rnacentral:rRNA from 1 species
AAGUCGAGCGGCAGCGCGGGGGCAACCCUGGCGGCGAGCGGCGAACGGGUGAGUAACACAUCGGAACGUACCCUGUCGUGGGGGAUAGCCCGGCGAAGGCCGGAUUAAUACCGCAUACGACCUGAGGGUGAAAGCGGGGGACCGCAAGACCUCGCGCGAUAGGAGCGGCCGAUGGCGGAUUAGCUAGUUGGUGAGGUAAAGGCUCACCAAGGCGACGAUCCGUAGCUGGUCUGAGAGGACGACCAGCCACACUGGAACUGAGACACGGUCCAGACUCCUACGGGAGGCAGCAGUGGGGAAUUUUGGACAAUGGGGGCAACCCUGAUCCAGCCAUUCCGCGUGAGUGAAGAAGGCCUUCGGGUUGUAAAGCUCUUUCGGCAGGAACGAAACGGUGGAGGCUAAUACCUUUCAUCAAUGACGGUACCUGAAGAAGAAGCACCGGCUAACUACGUGCCAGCAGCCGCGGUAAUACGUAGGGUGCGAGCGUUAAUCGGAAUUACUGGGCGUAAAGCGUGCGCAGGCGGUUCUAUAAGACAGAUGUGAAAUCCCCGGGCUUAACCUGGGAACUGCGUUUGUGACUGUAGGACUGGAGUGUGGCAGAGGGGGGUGGAAUUCCACGUGUAGCAGUGAAAUGCGUAGAGAUGUGGAGGAACACCGAUGGCGAAGGCAGCCCCCUGGGUUAACACUGACGCUCAUGCACGAAAGCGUGGGGAGCAAACAGGAUUAGAUACCCUGGUAGUCCACGCCCUAAACGAUGCGAACUAGGUGUUGGAGAAGGAGACUUCUUUAGUACCGUAGC